GAUGAACGCUGGCGGCGUGCCUAAUACAUGCAAGUAGAACGCUGAAGGAGGAGCUUGCUCUUCUGGAUGAGUUGCGAACGGGUGAGUAACGCGUAGGUAACCUGCCUGGUAGCGGGGGAUAACUAUUGGAAACGAUAGCUAAUACCGCAUGACAACAGUUAUUGCAUGAUAACUGUUUAAAAGGGGCAACUGCUCCACUACCAGAUGGACCUGCGUUGUAUUAGCUAGUUGGUGAGGUAACGGCUCACCAAGGCGACGAUACAUAGCCGACCUGAGAGGGUGGUCGGCCAAACUGGGAAUGAGACCAGGCCCAGACUCCUACGGGAGGCAGCAGUAGGGAAUCUUCGGCAAUGGACGGAAGUCUGACCGAGCAACGCCGCGGGAGUGAAGAAGGUUUUCGGAUCGUAAAGCUCUGUUGUAAGAGAAGAACGAGUGUGAGAGUGGAAAGUUCACACUGUGACGGUAUCUUACCAGAAAGGGACGGCUAACUACGUG
rnacentral:rRNA from 1 species